GGUUAAGCGACUAAGCGUACACGGUGGAUGCCCCGGCAGUCAGAGGCGAUGAAGGACGUGCUAAUCUGCGAAAAGCGUCGGUAAGGUGAUAUGAACCGUUAUAACCGGCGAUGUCCGAAUGGGGAAACCCAGUGUGAUUCGUCACACUAUCGUUAACUGAAUACAUAGGUUAACGAGGCGAACCGGGGAACUGAAACAUCUAAGUACCCCGAGGAAAAGAAAUCAACCGAGAUUCCCCAGUAGCGGCGAGCGAACGGGGAGCAGCCCAGAGUCUGAAUCAGCUUGUGUGUUAGUGGAACGGUCUGGAAAGUCCGACGGUACAGGGUGAUAGUCCCGUACACCAAAAUGCACAGGCUGUGAACUCGAAGAGUAGGGCGGGACACGUGGUAUCCUGUCUGAAUAUGGGGGACCAUCCUCCAAGGCUAAAUACUCCUGACUGACCGAUAGUGAACCAGUACCGUGAGGGAAAGGCGAAAAGAACCCCGGCGAGGGGAGUGAAAAAGAACCUGAAACCGUGUACGUACAAGCAGUGGGAGCACCUUCGGGUGUGACUGCGUACCUUUGUAUAAUGGGUCAGCGACUUAUAUUCUGUAGCAAGGUUAACCGUAUAGGGAGCCGCAGGGAAACCGAGUCUUAACUGGGCGUUAAGUUGCAGGGUAUAGACCCGAAACCCGGUGAUCUAGCCAUGGGCAGGUUGAAGGUUGGGUAACACUAACUGGAGGACCGAACCGACUAAUGUUGAAAAAUUAGCGGAUGACUUGUGGCUGGGGUGAAAGGCCAAUCAAACCGGGAGAUAGCUGGUUCUCCCGAAAGCUAUUUAGGUAGCGCCUCGUGAACUCAUCUUCGGGGUAGAGCACUGUUUCGGCUAGGGGUCAUCCCGACUUACCAACCCGAUGCAAACUACGAAUACCGAAGAAUGUUAUCACGGGAGACACACGGCGGGUGCUAACGUCCGUCGUGAAGAGGGAAACAACCCAGACCGCCAGCUAAGGUCCCAAAGUCAUGGUUAAGUGGGAAACGAUGUGGGAAGGCACAGACAGCCAGGAUGUUGGCUUAGAAGCAGCCAUCAUUUAAAGAAAGCGUAAUAGCUCACUGGUCGAGUCGGCCUGCGCGGAAGAUGUAACGGGGCUAAACCAUGCACCGAAGCUGCGGCAGCGACACUAUGUGUUGUUGGGUAGGGGAGCGUUCUGUAAGCCUGCGAAGGUGACCUGUGAGGGUUGCUGGAGGUAUCAGAAGUGCGAAUGCUGACAUAAGUAACGAUAAAGCGGGUGAAAAGCCCGCUCGCCGGAAGACCAAGGGUUCCUGUCCAACGUUAAUCGGGGCAGGGUGAGUCGACCCUAAGGCGAGGCCGAAAGGCGUAGUCGAUGGGAAACAGGUUAAUAUUCCUGUACUUGGUGUUACUGCGAAGGGGGACGGAGAAGGCUAUGUUAGCCGGGCGACGGUUGUCCCGGUUUAAGCAUGUAGGCUGGUUAUCCAGGCAAAUCCGGAUAAUCAAGGCUGAGGUGUGAUGACGAGGCACUACGGUGCUGAAGUAACAAAUGCCCUGCUUCCAGGAAAAGCCUCUAAGCAUCAGGUAACAUCAAAUCGUACCCCAAACCGACACAGGUGGUCAGGUAGAGAAUACCAAGGCGCUUGAGAGAACUCGGGUGAAGGAACUAGGCAAAAUGGUGCCGUAACUUCGGGAGAAGGCACGCUGGUGUGUAGGUGAAGCCCCUGCGGGUGGAGCUGAGACCAGUCGAAGAUACCAGCUGGCUGCAACUGUUUAUUAAAAACACAGCACUGUGCAAACACGAAAGUGGACGUAUACGGUGUGACGCCUGCCCGGUGCCGGAAGGUUAAUUGAUGGGGUUAUCCGUAAGGAGAAGCUCUUGAUCGAAGCCCCGGUAAACGGCGGCCGUAACUAUAACGGUCCUAAGGUAGCGAAAUUCCUUGUCGGGUAAGUUCCGACCUGCACGAAUGGCGUAAUGAUGGCCGGGCUGUCUCCACCCGAGACUCAGUGAAAUUGAACUCGCUGUGAAGAUGCAGUGUACCCGCGGCAAGACGGAAAGACCCCGUGAACCUUUACUAUAGCUUGACACUGAACAUUGAGCCUUGAUGUGUAGGAUAGGUGGGAGGCUUUGAAGCGUGGACGCCAGUCUGCGUGGAGCCAACCUUGAAAUACCACCCUUUAAUGUUUGAUGUUCUAACGUUGGCCCCUUACCGGGGUUGCGGACAGUGUCUGGUGGGUAGUUUGACUGGGGCGGUCUCCUCCCAAAGCGUAACGGAGGAGCACGAAGGUUAGCUAAUCCCCGGUCGGACAUCAGGAGGUUAGUGCAAUGGCAUAAGCUAGCUUGACUGCGAGCGUGACGGCGCGAGCAGGUGCGAAAGCAGGUCAUAGUGAUCCGGUGGUUCUGAAUGGAAGGGCCAUCGCUCAACGGAUAAAAGGUACUCCGGGGAUAACAGGCUGAUACCGCCCAAGAGUUCAUAUCGACGGCGGUGUUUGGCACCUCGAUGUCGGCUCAUCACAUCCCCGGGGCUGAAGUAGGUCCCAAGGGUAUGGCUGUUCGCCAUUUAAAGUGGUACGCGAGCUGGGUUUAGAACGUCGUGAGACAGUUCGGUCCCUAUCUGCCGUGGGCGCUGGAGAAUUGAGGGGGCUGCUCCUAGUACGAGAGGACCGGAGUGGACGCAUCACUGGUGUUCGGGUUGUCAUGCCAAUGGCACUGCCCGGUAGCUAAAUGCGGAAGAGAUAAGUGCUGAAAGCAUCUAAGCACGAAACUUGCCCCGAGAUGAGUUCUCCCUGAGACUUUAAGUCUCCUGAAGGAACGUUGAAGACGACGACGUUGAUAGGCCGGGUGUGUAAGCGCAGCGAUGCGUUGAGCUAACCGGUACUAAUGAACCGUGAGGCUUAACCUU
rnacentral:rRNA from 1 species